UGCGGGGUGGAGCAGUGGUAGCUCGUUGGGCUCAUAACCCAAAGGCCGUUGGUUCGAAUCCAACCCCCGCUA
rnacentral:tRNA from 1 species